UGCGUAGGUGGCGAAGUAAGUCGGAUGUGAAAUCUCCGAGCUCAACUCGGAAACUGCAUUGGAAACUACUUUGCUUGAGGGUUGGAGGGGGGACUGGAAUACUUGGUGUAGCAGUGAAAUGCGUAGAUAUCAAGUGGAACACCAGUGGCGAAGGCGAGUCCCUGGACAACUCCUGACACUGAGGCACGAAAGCUAGGGGAGCAAACAG
rnacentral:rRNA from 1 species